CAGCUCUGUGUGUGUAGGUGGACAGGGAAUGGGCAGCUCUGUGUGUGUGUAGGUGGACAGGGAAUGGGCAGCUCUGUGUGUAGGUGGACAGGGAAUGGGGAGCUCUGUGUGUGUAGGUGGACAGGGAAUGGGGAGCUCUGUGUCUCUGUGUGUGUAGGUGGACAGGGAAUGGGGAGCUCUGUGUGUGUGUAGGUGGACAGGGAAUGGGGAGCUCUGUGUAGGUGGACAGGGAAUGGGGAGCUCUGUGUGUGUGUAGGUGGACAGGGAAUGGGGAGCUCUGUGUGUGUGUGUGUGUGUGUGUGUGUGUGUGUAGGUGGACAGGGAAUGGGGUGCUCUGUGUGUGUGUAGGUGG
ensembl:lncRNA